AUUGAACGCUGGCGGCAGGCUUAACACAUGCAAGUCGAGCGGGGGAAGGUAGCUUGCUACCGGACCUAGCGGCGGACGCGUGAGUAAUGCUUAGGAAUCUGCCUCUUGGUGGGGGACAACAUCUCGAAAGGGAUACUAAUACCGAAAACGCCCUACGGGUCAAAGCAGGGGAUCUUCGGACCCUGGCCUAAUAGAUGAGCCUAAGUCGGAUUAGCUAGUUGGUGGGGUAAAGGCCUACCAAGGCGACGAUCUGUAGCGGGUCUGAGAGGAUGAUCCGCCACACUGGGACUGAGACACGGCCCAGACUCCUACGGGAGGCAGCAGUGGGGAAUAUUGGACAAUGGGGGGAACCCUGAUCCAGCCAUGCCGCGUGUGUGAAGAAGGCCUUAUGGUUGUAAAGCACUUUAAGCGAGGAGGAGGCUACUUUAGUUAGUACCUGGAGAUAGUGGACGUUACUCGCAGAAUAAGCACCGGCUAACUCUGUGCCAGCAGCCGCGGUAA
rnacentral:rRNA from 1 species